rnacentral:rRNA from 1 species
GGUACGGGCAGACUAGAGUGCGGUAGGGGGAGAUUGGAAUUCCUGGUGUAGCGGUGGAAUAAAACAGAUAUCAGGAGGAACACCGAUGGCGAAGGCAGAUCUCUGGGCCGUAACUGACGCUGAGGAGCGAAAGGGUGGGGAGCAAACAGGCUUAGAUACCCUGGUAGUCCACCCCGUAAACGUUGGGAACUAGUUGUGGGGUCCAUUCCACGGAUUCCGUGACGCAGCUAACGCAUUAAGUUCCCCGCCUGGGGAGUACGGCCGCAAGGCUAAAACUCAAAGGAAUUGACGGA